CCUACGGGAGGCAGCAGUGAGGAAUAUUGGUCAAUGGACGAGAGUCUGAACCAGCCAAGUAGCGUGAAGGAUGACUGCCCUAUGGGUUGUAAACUUCUUUUAUAUGGGAAUAAAAUGUUCCACGUGUGGGAUUUUGUAUGUACCAUAUGAAUAAGGAUCGGCUAACUCCGUGCCAGCAGCCGCGGUAAUACGGAGGAUCCGAGCGUUAUCCGGGUUUAUUGGGUUUAAAGGGAGCGUAGGUGGAUUGUUAAGUCAGUUGUGAAAGUUUGCGGCUCAACCGUAAAAUUGCAGUUGAAACUGGCAGUCUUGAGUACAGGAGAGGUAGGCGGAAUUCGUGGUGUAGCGGUGAAAUGCUUAGAUAUCACGAAGAACUCCGAUUGCGAAGGCAGUUCACUGGACUGCAACUGACACUGAGGCUCGAAAGUGUGGGUAUCAAACAGGAUUAGAUACCCGAGUAGUC
rnacentral:rRNA from 1 species